rnacentral:rRNA from 1 species
GAUGAACGCUGGCGGCGUGCCUAAUACAUGCAAGUCGAGCGAACAGACGAGGAGCUUGCUCCUCUGACGUUAGCGGCGGACGGGUGAGUAACACGUGGAUAACCUACCUAUAAGACUGGGAUAACUUCGGGAAACCGGAGCUAAUACCGGAUAAUAUAUUGAACCGCAUGGUUCAAUAGUGAAAGACGGUUUUGCCGUCACUUAUAGAUGGAUCCGCGCCGCAUUAGCUAGUUGGUAAGGUAACGGCUUACCAAGGCAACCAUGCGUAGCCGACCUGAGAGGGUGAUCGGCCACACUGGAACUGAGACACGGUCCAGACUCCUACGGGAGGCAGCAGUAGGGAAUCUUCCGCAAUGGGCGAAAGCCUGACGGAGCAACGCCGCGUGAGUGAUGAAGGUCUUCGGAUCGUAAAACUCUGUUAUUAGGGAAGAACAAAUGUGUAAGUAACUAUGCACGUCUUGACGGUACCUAAUCAGAAAGCCACGGCUAACUACGUG